GAGCUGCUCAGUGCCCAGCUUAGAGGACCAGGAAAAGGAGUCACCGGCCUAUGCUGGAGGCUUGAGACACGGCACAGCGGCGCAGCUCGCCUCGCUAUGGUUGGUGGUGGCAGUGGAGCUUGCGAUUGCCACGCGGCUGGAGGGUCCUUUAGGUUGUUUGAGGGACAUUAUCAAGGAAACCGGAGAAACUUAAAAUGCUCUUCCGCUUCUUUGGAACAGUCACAGAGAAAAGUGAACUCCUUUCAUUCUUGCAGUAAUUUUUCUUGCUGAUGGGAACAGUUCAAGUCAAGUGACAUGUGAGGAACAUUUUGUGUUUAACGUAAACCUUCCUUCCCAACUACAUUGAAACAGUAAUGAUGCACAAGAUUUUGAAAGAACAAAGAGGAACUACAGAAUCAUUGCUUACAUUGACACCGGCCCUGUUGUCCCAAUGGAUGGGUUUUUUUUGGAUGAACGUCAAAAUUGACCCUGCUGUUAAAGCUUGAAACUUGGAUCUGUUGUAUCUGAGUUCUCUCCUCAAAAAAAGACCUUCAGGAAGUAUCAGAUAACUGAAACAUACCAGAUCACAGCACCACAUGCCUCCUGCCCCUCCCUAAUUUCUGUUCUCUUAUACAUUGUUAAAUUUUUUUCCUGCCCCUAUUAGUCAAGCCCAUGGAUUUGAGACUGAGCUCCCAGCUCCUGGGCCGCAGCACCAGGUUAAAGCUUUCUUCCUUGGCAGUACUUGUCACCUCAGUGACUGGCUUUUUCUCCGAUGAGCAGGAGGACCUGGACGAAACCCCUAGUGUUUGGGUAAUAACAUGAACGACCAUCUUAACUGUUAUUCUUUAUUGA
rnacentral:lncRNA from 1 species